rnacentral:rRNA from 1 species
UACGUAGGGUGCAAGCGUUAUCCGGAAUUAUUGGGCGUAAAGAGCUCGUAGGCGGUCUGUCGCGUCGGCUGUGAAAACCCGAGGCUCAACCUCGGGCCUGCAGUCGAUACGGGCAAACUAGAGUACUGCAGGGGAGACUGGAAUUCCUGGUGUAGCGGUGAAAUGCGCAGAUAUCAGGAGGAACACCGGUGGCGAAGGCGGGUCUCUGGGCAGUAACUGACGCUGGAGGAGCGAAAGCGUGGGGAGCGAACAGG